rnacentral:rRNA from 1 species
GCCUACGGGGGGCAGCAGUGGGGAAUAUUGCACAAUGGGGGAAACCCUGAUGCAGCGACGCCGCGUGAGUGAAGAAGUAUUUCGGUAUGUAAAGCUCUAUCAGCAGGGAAGAAGCAAGACGGUACCUGACUAAGAAGCCCCGGCUAACUACGUGCCAGCAGCCGCGGUAAUACGUAGGGGGCAAGCGUUAUCCGGAUUUACUGGGUGUAAAGGGAGUGUAGAGGGUAUGGCAAGUCUGAAGUGAAAGCCCAGGGCU